rnacentral:rRNA from 1 species
UACGGGGGGGGCAAGCGUUGUUCGGAAUUACUGGGCGUAAAGGGCUCGUAGGCGGCCAACUAAGUCGGAUGUGAAAUCCCCAGGCUCAACUUGGGAACUGCAUCCGAUACUGGAUGGCUUGAAUUCGGGAGAGGGAUGCAGAAUUCCAGGUGUAGCGAUGAAAUGCGUAGAUAUCUGGAGGAACACCGAUGGCGAAGGCAAUCCCCUGGGCCUGCACUGACGCUCAUGCACGAAAGCGUGGGGAGCAAACAGG